rnacentral:rRNA from 1 species
AUACGGAGGGUGCAAGCGUUACUCGGAAUCAUUGGGUUUAAAGGGUCCGUAGGUGGAUAAUUAAGUCAGAGGUGAAAUCCUGCAGCUCAACUGUAGAAUUGCCUUUGAUACUGGUUAUCUUGAGUUAUUAUGAAGUAGUUAGAAUAUGUAGUGUAGCGGUGAAAUGCAUAGAUAUUACAUAGAAUACCGAUUGCGAAGGCAGAUUACUAAUAAUAUACUGACACUGAGGGACGAAAGCGUGGGGAGCGAACAGGAUUAGAAACCCCAGUAGUCC